ACGUGCAUGGAGGCGCAAGGGCCCGUUCAUUGCUGAUUAAACUAAAUUAACUUAAAUUUUAAGUUGUUUUUUUUUUUCCACUUGGGUAUUACUGUGGCUUUACAUAAAUAAUAUGGUAUUCCCUUAUCUUUAACAGGACACAGUCAGGGUAAACCUGAGCCUUUGGAGGGAGGCAGCCAUCACAGACCUCAACAUUGGGGACCGAGUCAAAUUCUCACACAUGAAGACCUGCACCACUGAUUAUGGACUACAGCUCCAAACCACCAACUACACUAAGAUUGAGGUGGGAGUGGAUCUGCUGGAUAAGAUGCUCCCAGAAGAUGGCCAGUCGCGGUUUUCUGUAACAUGCUGGACAUGGCUGCACUGAAAGCGCGUGUCCUGUACCGGAGCUGCAUAGACACAGCUAUAACCCGGCGAGUGUUCAUCCUGGAGCUCUGCAAACAAUAACGCAGUGAGCACAUCACCGGGCCAAUACAAACAGCGAGUCCCAUCCUGCCGACCAUGCCUGAAGAGAAGAGGAAGAAUUGCGGUGUAAAAUGCAAAUGCACAAAAAACAAAACAACAAAAAUGUGCAUAAAGUGCCUGCGUGCAGUGUGUGGACAGUGCACUGUGAAAGUCUACAGCGUGUGUGCGGAUUGUGAGUAGUUUGCACGUGGUUUUGGUUGUAUCUUGUACCUAAAAGCUAUUUCUUUGUCUUUUACAGGAUGGCACAUGUGUAGUGGUGAGCCUAUGGAGGGAGGCUGCAAUGUUGGACAGUAAAGUGGGUGAGGUGGUUUGCCUCUCCCACUUAAAGGGGACACAAUCAGACUACGAAUGCAAACUCCAGUCAACGAACUACAUCAAAAUCCAAGAGGAGCAGAAUGCCAAAGAGUGGCAGUGUGUCAAUUUUGGGUGUCCUAAAAUGACCAGGAAAUCCCUGACUUACAAGUUUAAGACAUGGCUGCUUUUUUUUUUUUUUUUUUGAGUUUUUGUCUUGAGUUGCUUUAUGUUAACACUACUUGUAAAUGUUUGCUGAAAGUGAAAAUAAAGUAUUUUUCGUUUGAA